ensembl:lncRNA
GAAGAAACUGCUGAAUGCUCUCAGUGGAUUGUCUCGCCAACUCCAACAACAAACUGCCGAUAUCAAUGAGCGUUCGGGACUCUCCAGGUUGCUGUCCAUAGAGGAGAGGUUUGCGGCGCGGGAGGAACUGACUCAAAGAAGAGGAGACUGGCGCUAGCGGAAGCGGUGCGCCGUCUUCACAACUCCGAGACGAAUUACAGGCGCUACGAACCGGAGCAAGGCCGCCUGUAAGACGUAUUUUGAGACGGUACGCAGGAGCUUCAGGUUCUCCCAGCCGGAACACUCAUUGCGGGCGGAAGCUGCGAAGAAUUCAGCGCGGAGUCGAGCGAGAAGAAAGAGGCUGCUGGAAUCGAGACAAAGUGUGCUGGCUGAUGACGAGGUGGAACUCUGGAAAUCCGCCACCGUAGAGCUCAUGUCGGACGGAGAGGAUGGCGUUGUUUGCGGGGUCUCGGGGUGGAUUGUACGGUCGCCGCCAAAAUACAGAGCCACGCACACUAGGCGCCUGCACAACAGACCUGCCUCGGAAAACAUGCCGCCAGUGACAGUCUACAACCCCGAGGAGGCAAACGGACAGUUUACUGAGCUGUAGUUUUUUAAACCGCCUUUACCCAAGUGUGGGCAGAUCCUCACUUUGUAUAUAGUUGUUGUUUGUAUGUUGUUAAUAAAGCUCUUUCUUUGCAUAAACAUGUUCCUGGCAAAUGUUCAUUUUCUCUAUAAAUUCAUUGAUGUCCUGGAUGGUAUCCUAAUAAUAGUGUAGUAGCCUACAUAGGAUAACAAUGAAAUGAAUGUCCAGCAUAAUAUGAAUAUAUAAAUAUAUAUAAAUAAAAUGAGGCGGGUGACCAAUAGCGACAGAUCUGCCAACCAAUCACGAGUGAUUUGAAAGUUGUGGUUUCAUCACAAUCAUGAGCAAGGAAAACUCAAGCCUUGGUCUGCCCAGGUGUGGUUUUGCUGCCAAUCACGAGUGAUUUUACUUGUUUGAAAGAUGUGGUUUCAUCCAAUACGGAGUAGGGAUAUUUAAGCCCGCUCAGGCACCCGCGGUUUCGCUGUAUUCAUAUGCUAAUUUGGGCCAUUCGCACCUCCACCAGCUCUCCACAUACGCCUUGGAUUGUUUCCGACAAACACGACGUGCGCGGGUUGCAAAUUGUCGGAAAUGGUCGGAAAUUAGGGAGAUUUCCGGGCGUUUCCGGGGACGAAAAUCUCACUUUUCAUGCAGUGCAGUCCGUCAAGCUCCUGAAAUUUGCGGAUGACACCACCUUCGUUGGACUGAUCUCUGGUGGUGAUGAGUCCGCCUACAGGUGGGAAUCUGGUGUCGUGGUGCAGCCAGAACAACCUAGAGCUCAACGCCCUAAAGACAGUGGAGAUGGUUGUGGAUUUCCGGAGGAACAGAGCCCCACCUUCCCCCAUUACUCUGUGCGACUCCCCCGUCACUAUUGUGGAUUCCUUCCGUUUCCUGGGCUCCAUCAUCACCCAGGACCUCAAGUGGGAGCUGAACAUCAGCUCCAUCACCAAUAAGCAGCAGAGGUUGUUCUUCCUCAGGCAGCUGAAGAAAUUCAACCUGCCAAAGACGAUGAUGGUGCACUUUUACACGGCCAUCAUCGAGUCCAUCCUCUGCUCCUCCAUCACCGUCUGGUACGCUGCAGCCACAGCCAAGGACAAGGGCAGGCUGCAGCGUGUCAUCCGCUCUGCAGAGAGGGUGAUUUAGAUUAGAUUAGAUUCAACAACGAAAUGCAGUUUAACAUCCAACCAGAAGUGCAAAAUUGCAAAAAGUGCAGAGUAUGUGCAUAUGUAAAGUGUAAUAAGUGAAUAAAUAGAUAUGAUCGGCUGCAAUCUGCCGUCCCUGCAGGACUUGUUCGCUUCUAGGUCUCUGAAGAGAGCUAAAGAGAUCGUAGCCGACCCCUCUCACCCCGGACAAAACCUGUUUGUGCCCCUUCCAUCUGGCAAGUGUUUAACACUUAAAGUGAUAACAUUUAUGUACGUACAUUUGCAAAUGUACAUACUAAUUAUAAUGGUGAUGGUGGCCCAGAAGUGCAAAACACAACAGCAAAUAGGAAAACACAACGACAUCCACCAGAGGAUGGACCCUUCUGAUUGGACAGACGGACUGUCUGUCUUUUAACAGGAAAUGAGUACAGGGCUCUAAAGUAUCACGCAUUUCGGUCUCUUGUAACGCACUCCCGCCACACAUCCAAUUCCUCACGACAAGGAAUUGGAAUCCGGUCCCUGAGCCGUGUCGCCCGUAGUGUCCGCGGUACCCCUGCCCCCCCUUUUAUUUUACACACCUAAAUAUAAUUUACAUUUAUAAUAAACAACAAAACACCGGUAAAACAAUGGUGAAACACUAGUAGGACACUCGUAAAACAUCGCCAUCUCUCUGCUGCGGCUCUCCUUCUGCGCUCACUUCCACCCCUCAUCAUAGGCUCUCCCGCCACUGAUUUCUUGAUUUCUCAGCUUCCAGAAUCCGUGAGAAUUACGUUGAUUGUGCAAAUAGUUAAGGAGUCUCACGUUAAUUUGAAUCCUCCAUGUCACGGCGAAAGGCUUCGGACUGAGACGGUUCAAAGACAAACAGUCCGUCUGUCCAAUCAGAAUGGUCCGUCCACUGCUAGAUAGGCCCUACCCUUUCCGUACGAAGUUAAUGUCGUUGUGUUUUCCCAUUUGCCCUUGUGCCUCCUAUUUUUUGUUGUAUUUUUCUAUUUACUGUUGUUUUCUUAUUUGCCAUUGUGAUUAUCAGCUCCAUGGCAGCUACAAUUCACAUUGUAUUUACAAAACCUUCAGUUCAUCAGGUAAUUAGUGCCUUUCUCCGCCCAAUAUACUGCACAUUGCGAUCAUUAAAGAAAAUGCUGGCCGUGUAAAGCCUAACAUUAUUUUCAAACAGCAAUAUUGUCUCUUGAAUACUGGUUUAGGCAGCAAUUUACCUCAUAUUUUUAAGUCGAAACAACAUGUUAGAUUUUACAUUGUAUGAUUGGCUGAUCCCGUUUUCCUUACCCUAAAACUCCUCAUGACUAAACAGAACAAACAAAGGGGACAACUGUCAGCCAAUCAGACGUUCAGUAGUCGUUCAGUCAUGCUUAACCAUAGUAGGGAAAAAAUCAUAAAGGUGAAUAAAUCUUUUUCCGGACCAAUGAGAGCUUUUUUGGGAAUAUUGGUGUUCUGGAAUAAUAGCCUCUCGGAACAAGGGUCAGUCCCCCUCACAAGUGCUUGAGGGGAGGGGGAACUGCCCCAGAUAGUCACUAUCUUGUUGCUCUAUGAGGUAAUGUUGGAAUUCACAAAAGUUGGAAAUCUGUAUAUGCAUAUGUAUAACUCCACAAUGGGUGGGCCAGUAUCAUGCAUGGUAGCCCAUCAUCGGAGAUGAAAUAAUGAACAGGAGGCAAAUAAUCAAAGACUGUAAAAGCGAGACAGAUACAUUGCUGCCAACAUAUUUUUGACCGAUAGAUGUUCAGUUCUUAAUACAUUGCAAUAAGUCUCCUUUUAGGCUAUUGAGUUUUUCCAUACAUGACAAUUACAUCGCUAUUGUAAGCUGCUACAUAAAGCAAUAACCAAUUUAGUUCCCAAGUCCUGUGGCCAUCACACAGUAACUAAUAACAUCCAUCAUGGUAUUUUUUUGGGCCCUUGUUUUUGUGAAAGCUGUUCUUCUAGACUGAAAUACAACCCAGCUUUAUUGUGGCUAGAAACCAGUUCUGCUCCUGCUGCAACCAAAAAUUAAUGUUCUCUGUAAACCCAACCUAAGGAGGGUCUGACUAUGUUAUCAGAUUCAAGGUGCAAAUGCAGCAUAUAACAUGUUGGGAGGGAUCCGUAAAUUACAUUGAGACCCUUUAUAGCACUAGUUAAAUAUAUGCAUGGGAAUUCAGUCAACAUUAUGUACUGAGAUGAAUGUGUUGAUUGCAGGUGUGCAUUCCCACUUACUGUGAGAUUUCAGAAAACAGUUCUAGUGGCUUAAAGAUGGGUUUAUCAACUAAUUGUGCCCGUAGAUGUGGCUUGAGACCUUGAUGGAUUUUUCCAUUGUCUCUACUUUCACCGCUUAUGACUUAUUCAGUGAUUCAUUUUUAAUCAAAGCUGAAAUCAAAGAUGUCUGUUAGGCCAUUAACAGCCCAUAAUAUUUGGCUGUAACAAAUAAAACAUGUACUUUUUAUUUCAAAACGUGACAUGAGUGAAGUGAAAGCAAAUAGAUUUGAUUACUUUGUAAAUGGGGUGAUGAAAAGGUCAUACUUAUUGUACUGACAGUUUCUGUCAAAUGAUCCAUUAUCGUAGGCCCGCUGAGACUUAAAAAACACAUUCGGCAGGUACAUCUGCUCACUUGAAGACAGCCCAAUUUUAAAUUAAUCUCAUUGCAUAAUUCAAAGUUGUGACUAAGUCAGGCAUGUUAAAAAAGGCAUCUUAAAUUAUACCAUCCAAACUCUGGUGUCUCAUUAAUAUUACAGGAACUAUUCUUUGACUUGAUUUCAUUUACUUUAUCCAUCUGAGUGAGGACAAACGUCCCAGAAGGGAGGAAUUACAAAGGGUGAAAAUCACAUUUUAGGGU